UUCCUUUCCCCUCCCCUGUAUCCCACACAGGGCCCCUUCAACACCCCAAUCCCAGUCCCGUGGGCUCCCCAGUUCCCCCCAGUUCAGCAUCUUUGGGUCCCCCCCAACCUCCCCCCACCCUCCCUGCAGGCCCUGAAUUCCCCUGGCUCUCCUUGUCUCCAUCCCCACCCUGGGCCCUGCAGGCACAGGGGUUGGAGGUGAAACUGGGUGCAGUGGGAGCAGGGGGAGCAGAAGGGAUUUUCCCCCUCAGACGGGGGGCAGCCCUGGGCUGGGGGGGCUGGGGACACCCGUGUCCCUCCCCCAGCCCCACAGGAGCCAAUCCUGCUUAACCCUUUGCUCUCCUUGCCCAGGCACUCUUGGCAGGAACCCAAAAUGAUCUGCGGGAGGUGAGUGGGCCGGGGGGACUGGAGGGCAUCCAGUCUGGGAACUGGGGGACACUUUGGUCCCCCCAUCCCUCGCUGGCACCGGGGACAUCCCAGUGACCAGCCAGGGCUCCUGGUCUCUCUCCAGCUGCAUUUAGUGGACAUUGGGAUCCUGAAGAUGGCUCAGGUGGGUACCAGGAGUUCUGCCUGAGUCGGGUCCUCCCCUCACAUGGCCAUGACACUUCUGGCCAUCCCAGUCUGCCCCAGUAUACCCCAGUGCACCUUCCCCAAGGAUCCCAUUUCUUCCCCCAGGCUCCCAAUACAUCCCACUGCACCCAGUGUGUCUCUGAGUCUGUCUUUGUCCCCAGCCCCCUGUGGUUGAGAAGGUGGUGGGUCUUGUUGGUGAGAAAGGCGUGGCUGCAUCCCUGGAUGUCUGAGGACUGGUGGUGACACCCGUGCCCUGUCCCCCUCCAGCACCAUGAGGAGAUGAUCAUCCCUGGAAGAACCCCCUGAUUUCCCUCAGAGCCCAGGGCCAUUUCCCCUGAAUGAUCAAUAAAUCCCUUCAGCAAA